rnacentral:rRNA from 1 species
AUUGAACGCUGGCGGCAGGCCUAACACAUGCAAGUCGAGCGGAUGAAGGGAGCUUGCUCCUGGAUUCAGCGGCGGACGGGUGAGUAAUGCCUAGGAAUCUGCCUGGUAGUGGGGGAUAACGUCCGGAAACGGGCGCUAAUACCGCAUACGUCCUGAGGGAGAAAGGGGGGGAUCUUCGGACCUCACGCUAUCAGAUGAGCCUAGGUCGGAUUAGCGAGUUGGUGGGGUAAAGGCCUACCAAGGCGACGAUCCGUAACUGGUCUGAGAGGAUGAUCAGUCACACUGGAACUGAGACACGGUCCAGACUCCUACGGGAGGCAGCAGUGGGGAAUAUUGGACAAUGGGCGCAAGCCUGAUCCAGCCAUGCCGCGUGUGUGAAGAAGGUCUUCGGAUUGUAAAGCCCUUUAAGUUGGGAGGAAGGGCAGUAAGUUAAUACCUUGCUGUUUUGACGUUACCCACAGAAUAAGCACCGGCUAACUUCGUG